rnacentral:lncRNA from 1 species
CCUCCAUCUCCCUUCCAGCUGUCAUUUCCAAGAAGAGAAGCCUCCAUGUCUAAGCAUCUAUUCUCCAGAUGGACACACUGAGGCCCAGAAGGAUACCAUCCCCACACAGGCAGAACUGGCACCAGACCCUGAGUCCUUGAGCGCUGCACUCACCCUGCCCGCUGCCCCUGUGGUCUGGGGUCUGGGCACUGGCAAGGCCAGGCUGGCAGCUCUAGCCCCGCAUGGGUCAAGGACUCCCGAGCACGAAGCUCAGUUGCCUAGCAACAAGUGGUGUCCUGGAGCUGGCUGUCACUCCAGCAGGUCACGGGAGAGAUGGGGCAACCAUGUGGAUGACUUCCUAAGGCCCCUUGCCUGCCACAGGGACAUCUCCACAUUUAUGUUCCACAGAUUGGGUCAGAAGAAUUUCAGGGACGGGAUGGACCAGGAGCCAGGCAGCUGCAAUCCCGCAUCAGCUGGUUGGGGAUGGAAUGUUGCUUCCCUGUCCCCAGCUCCCACUAUUGUAAGAGGAGCUCCAAGAAGAUAAGGACAUGGUCAACUUUUUCUGCUGUGUCGUCACACAAUGCCUGGCCCACAGUAGGGCCACAAGCACUACACGUUGAGUACUACAAAGUUUAAACCCUGGCAAGGGGUCAGGCUGGCCACGCCACUCCAAAGGCGGACGAGGAGUCAGGGGUGAAGCUGUGUGAUUUAGGCAAAGAGAAGUUCCUCUCCGGUCUGAGGUUUCCAACCUGUUCAAUUUUAACCUGCCACCUUUUAUGUCCAAAGGAGUCCUUUCUGACUCAUUAUCUCCGGGCAGGGUGGGACUAUUACAGGGUGCCAUGGGGUGCUGUGAGCUGGGCUGUACUUGCCCCUGGAAUGUUGUCACGUCUCCUCCCUCCCUCCCAGAUAAAACCCAAGCAUAAGCGAGAUCCUGGAGGUGAUGCGAGCCAUCUUAGACAUCCCAGAGAGCCCCAGCCUUUGCACCGAUGUUAUUAACAUUAUGAUUUACUUUCCUGCUGUAUUUUUUCAUCUUAGCUGCAGCUGCUUCCCACCCCGCCUCCCACCACUAGAAGACUGUUUAAAGUAAAUCCUUCUAAAAUUCUUUCUUUUUCUUUUUUUCUUUUUUUUUUUCUGAGAUGGAGUUUCACUCUUGUCGCCCAAGCUGGAGUGCAAUGGCGCGAUCUCGGCUCACUGCAACCUCCGCCUCCCAAGUUCAAGCAAUUCUCCUGCCUCAGCCUCCCAAGUAGCUGGAAUUACAGGCACCCACCACCACACCGGGCUAAUUUUUGUAUUUUUAGUAGAGACGGGGUUUCACCACAUUGGCCAGGCUGGUCUCAAACUCCUGACCUCAGGUGAUCUGCCCGCCUCGGCCUCCCAAAGUGCCGGGAUUACAGGCAUGAGCCACCACACAUGGCCUAAAUACUUUUAAAAUUCUAACCAGUCUGAGCUGAAAUUAGAAAAUAGUUUUAAUACUUUGGGGGAAUUCUGCUUAAAUUCCCUUUUUGCGAGUUUGACGGUGACCUUUAAAAAGCAGCAUGUGAUAAGUACAGGACCUACAUCUGUACAGCCCCUUUCUACGAGUGGGUGACCCUCCGUGGGUGGGGAGAAGUUGGACAGCUCAUUUGUCACAGAUCUUCCAUUUCUUAAGGUGAUUUUAGAAUAACUUAUUUGAGUCCCAACUCUGGGGGAAUGGGCGGGGAAUAUUAAUCCCAUUUGUCAGAUGAGGAAACUGAGACGCAGAGGAGGCAAACGACGCCCCCUGAGGUUGACAAAGUAUUAGGGUGGAGCUGGAAGC